GAAGGAAGGAGAGAUGGAGAAGAGGAGGGAGAGGAAGAGAGAGGGAAUGAGUGAUGCCAAAGAAACCUGCUGGAUUUAGGCCUGCCCCUGGGAAAACCGAAGUGAGACGGAGUGAGAAAUCCGAGGGACACAUGGGUCUAGUGUGGGCCUGGAAAAGGAUUGUGGACGCCCCUCACACGUUCAUCUACCCACGCUCCUGCCAACCCACCAUGUGAAGAUGGAUUUUCGAAACGCUGCCUGGAAGAGGGUGACUCCGUGUUUGGGACACCAAUUCUGGCACCAAAACUUUUCUACUCAGAAACUGAGCGCCCAGACGCAUUUAGGGGAGAUGGGAAUUGAGUACUUUUUACUAAUUUAAGCAAAGAUCCUUCCCAUUCAAACUAACACACUCUAGUGUCCCUUGCUCCACCCCAGGAUCUUACGCUCCAAGCAGGCCUAUGCGGCCUCACAGGGUCAACUGGGGGAAGAUGGGGUUACCUGGCCCCCAGGGUCUUCCCCAAGCCCUUGAACUCCCUUCGCUCCCGGUCAGGGAACAGCGUCUUCCUGCACUUAACCCCAAAGGAAGUCCAACGGCUCGGCUAUCCGGAGACCCAAGGGAGAGCCGUCGAGGUGAAAAACCCAGUGGUCUAGGCCUACGAGGAGAGGGUCCUGGUGACGCAGUUGGAGAAGGCAGAGGUGUCUCAUCGAUGAAGGUAUUCUGGAGGGCCUCCGAGGGCUCGGCUCUGGGCUGGGAGGAUCCGGAUAUCAUCCGAUGAGGACCACUUGUGCAGGAAGGAGCCUGGUGCCCGAGGAGUAGAAAAGAUGUUGGUCUCAUCGUGGGAUAAUCGUCGGGACAAAGGGACCUGGGAAGAGGAGCAGGUGAGACCUGGAGAUGCUGCAGAGACAAAGGGUACCCUGCAGUCCAAAGCCAAAGAGCAGUGGUGCAGGAGACCAGAAUGGAGGAGACAGACAGACGAGAGGACGGUAGAUGCCGGGCUGGAGAUGGAGCUUUUGCGUGGCUGGUAGAACUGGAAGGCCCUGUAUAUUAAAAAAAGGCUGAAGGACCUCAAUCUCACCAAAAUGGGCACCCCCGUGAGUGAGUCAUAGAGAAAGACGAUGGCGCUGACCAAGUUGGUGACCUGCAAGGAUGUCUUGGCAGAUUCAGAGCCAUCCAGCGAGGACCGCCGCUUCCCUCGAGUAUCCUCCACCACAAUGGCUGGCACCUCAAAAGCUGGCCGGGUACCCAACCCCCCCAGCCCCCCUGCUUUGGUGCCCACACUGCCCCCCGCUCUCCGGGCCUGCCGAGCCCUCCGGGGCCGGGCCCACAGUGUCUGAUAGAAUGUGAUAGCCACACAGACCAACCCCAUGACAAUGCCCCCAAGAAGCAGGAGGCUGAAGCAGACACCAAAACCGAGGCCGAUCUUGGAGACUAUGAACUGGCAGCCUCGGGCAUAGUAGCGCUCCCCGUUGUUGUGCCAGCCGAUGGAGGGCAGCGUGGAGAGGAUGAAGCUGACCAUCCAGAUGCCCAUGACGGCAUGCAGCGCCUGCUUCUUGGCGUUGCUGAGGCGGUAGUUAACGGGCCAUCGCACCAUCCACAUGCGAUGGUAGGAGAGCGAGGCGACCGUGAAGCAGGUGGCCAGGGCCAGCGUGUAGUAGGUGGACACAAAGACCUUGCAGAUGCUCUCGUUCCAGUCAUAGUCAGAGGAAGCCUGGCGCCGGAGCUGCACCACAGCAAAGGUGGUAAGGGGCACAGCCGCCAUGAGUAUAUGAGUACCGGCCAGGAAGCAGAG
rnacentral:lncRNA from 1 species